rnacentral:rRNA from 1 species
CCAUUGUCAAGUUCUGAAAAAUUAUCUCUUACAGAGGGGCAACCGUUGAACUCAGAUGACAGCACAAAGUACAGAAGUCUAGUAGGUGCCCUUCAAUAUUUAACACUUACAAGACCUGAUAUUUCGUUUGCUGUUAAUAAAGUCUGCCAGUUUCUUCAUGCACCUACUACAGUUCAUUGGACUGCUGCGAAGCGCAUAGUCAGAUAUGUUAAGCACACCCUCAAUGUUGGUCUUAAUCUUAGUAAGUCAUCAUCUAUACUUUUGAGUGCCUUCUCAGAUUCAGAUUGGGCAGGAUGCCUGGAUGAUAGACGUUCAACUGGUGGCUUUGCAGUCUUCUUUGGUCCUAACCUGAUUUCUUGGUGUGCAAGAAAACAAGCCACAGUUUCCAGAUCCAUCACAAGUACAAAGCAUUAG